UUUUAUAGCACCUGCCACAUUGAACAUCCUUGCUCUCAUCUGAUUUUGAAAGCUAAGCAAGGCCUGACCUGGUUAGUAUUUGGAUGGGAGAUGACCAGAGAAUAAUAGGGAUCUCCAGAAA
rnacentral:rRNA from 1 species